rnacentral:misc_RNA from 1 species
GAUGAAGAACGUAGCGAAAUGCGAUAAGUAAUGUGAAUUGCAGAAUUCCGUGAAUCAUCGAAUCUUUGAACGCACAUUGCGCCCCCUGGUAUUCCGGGGGGCAUGCCUGUCCGAGCGUCAUUACAACCCUCAAGCUCAGCUUGGUGUUGGGCCCCGCCGCCCCGGCGGGCCCUAAAGUCAGUGGCGGUGCCGUCCGGCUCCGAGCGUAGUAAUUCUUCUCGCUCUGGAGGUCCGGUCGUGUGCUCGCCAGAAACCCCCAAUUUUUUUCAGGUUGACCUCGGAUCAGGUAGGGAUACCCGCUGAACUUAAGCAUAUCAAUAAGCGGAGGA